rnacentral:pre_miRNA from 1 species
GAACUACUCCCUCCGUUCGGAAUUACUUGUCGCAAAAAUGGAUGCAUCUAGAUGUAUUUUAGUUCUAGAUACAUCCAUUUCCGAGACAAGUAAUUCCGAACGGAGGGCGUACUUU